AAAGAUUCCAUAGGUGCGGGGGCUGACUGCGAUCACCUGCUUAGUCCUGGAAUGCCACCAUUGGACAAAAUGGCCAGAAAUUACUGGAGGGCAUGGCUUGCGACCAGGAACUGAAGCCAGCACAGACCACAGGCCUCCUGCAGAAGCAGGGCUCAGGAGAUAAAGACCCGAUCAAUGAACUAAUAAUAACAACUAUUUAUGAAGUGCCUCUGAUACAUCAGAAAUCUCCAUGAAUACUCCCAACACCGCAGGAGGCAGAACAACUUUGUUUAACAGAAAGGAAAGAAGCAGGAGUGAAGAAACCAACAUCUCUGAG